CAUCAUGGCUCAGGAUGAACGCUGGCGGCGUGCUUAACACAUGCAAGUCGAACGAAGCACCUUGAUUUGAUUCUUCGGAUGAAGAUCCUGGUGACUGAGUGGCGGACGGGUGAGUAACGCGUGGGUAACCUGCCUCAUACAGGGGGAUAACAGUUAGAAAUGACUGCUAAUACCGCAUAAGACCACAGCACCGCAUGGUGCAGGGGUAAAAACUCCGGUGGU
rnacentral:rRNA from 1 species